UCGACCCAAUCGGUGGGGAUAACGUAGACGUAAAGUUACGACUAAUACCGCAUACGAUCUACGGAUGAAAGCGGGGGAUCGCAAGACCUCGCGCGAAUGGAGCGGCCGAUGUCAGAUUAGGUAGUUGGUGGGGUAAAGGCUCACCAAGCCGACGAUCUGUAGCUGGUCUGAGAGGACGACCAGCCACACUGGGACUGAGACACGGCCCAGACUCCUACGGGAGGCAGCAGUGGGGAAUUUUGGACAAUGGGCGCAAGCCUGAUCCAGCCAUUCCGCGUGCAGGAUGAAGGCCUUCGGGUUGUAAACUGCUUUUGUACGGAACGAAACGGUUCUCUCUAAUACAGGGGGCUAAUGACGGUACCGUAAGAAUAAGCACCGGCUAACUACGUG
rnacentral:rRNA from 1 species